GGGGGGUGGCAGUGAAAUGCUUCCAUACCACUGCGGUCUAAGAUCUGUGACUUAUCCAUCACAAAUUAAAACAGUCAAUUUGUUGAGCCUUUGACAUCCAUCUCUAAUUUCUACGUAUUACGAAACAUCUCCCCUACACCAGACACCAGGCAGGGGCAGGAAAUACGUUUUCUUGUGCUUUAUCCCCAAGUACUCUCUUUUCUCUCUUAAAAAUGGAGACUAAAAAGCUGAAAAAUCACUGCUUUCAAGCCAGAAUUUCAGGCUCUUCCUAAAAAGGACCAAGAGAGUCAGUAUUUUGGGUUCUGUGGCACACACCCUGUCUGGAGCAACCACGCCGCUCUGCCCGGGUAGCAGCUGCCCCAGACAACGGGGUGAAGCAUGGGCAUGGCUGCCUUCUAAUAAAACUUUCUUCUGGACACUGCCAUUGGUAGGUCAUGUUAUUUUCAGGGGUCAUCACAAACUCUCCUUCUUUUGAUUGUUCUAUCAGCUGUCCAGCAAUAGAAAAAUAGUCUCAAUUCACAGGCUGGCCAAAAAGGCAGUGGGCCUGCGUUCGAUCCCUGAAACCCAACCGAGUUAGUUUUCCAAAUGGACUAACUAAAUUCUACCAAGUUCCCACCACAUGCUCCUCUGGACCUCUGGUUACCAUCUUUAGGAAGGAGGGCUGAACCAGGCCUGUGCCAUCGAAAGGCGUGGGACACCAGCCAACAGUGGUUGGUUCAAAGUCAGUUGUAAAUUAAUUAAAAUGAACAAGCCCGUCCCUGAGUGGCACUGACCGCGUUUCCAGCGCUGAAGAGCCACGUGUGUCUGGUGGCUCCCAGGCUGAACAGCACUGAUUGAGAACAUUUCCCUCACUGCAGCAAGCUGCACCAGACAUCGCGAGCCUCGAAUGAUCUCUAGAGCCCCUGGGGCCCAGGCGUUGGUGCCUCUACGAUUAACAGCUCUGCCAAAGUCCAGCGUGGACAGGAAGGAGGGGUAACGUGACGGUUUCGCCCCUCGAGCGUGGGGAGGAAGGUGUGGGGAAUCGUCAAGAGUUUUGAGAGCGUCUCCCCCAAAUUCCUGCCCAGUAGGAGCUUCAGCUUGUGGCAGUGUCUGGAUGGAGUCUGCAUGUGUGAAUUCAUCCUAGAUCUUGAAAUGAACGUGUCCUGGAUUUAGGGUGGACCCGAAAUACAAUGACUGGUGGUGGUGUAAGAGACAGGAGAAGGGGACAGGAACACAGAGGGACACAGAGGAGAAAGCCACUGAGGACAGAGGGCAGCCACAAGACCAGGGAGCCCUGCAGCAUGUGGAAGUUCCCAGGCUACGGGUUGAAUGUCAACUACAGCUGCCAGCCUACGCCACAGCGACAGCAAGGAGGGAUCUGAGCCACGUCUGCGACCUACACCACGGCUCAGAGCAACACUGGAUCUUUAACCCACAGAGCGGGACCAGGGAUUGAACCUGCAUCCUCAUGGAUACUAGUUGGAUUUGUUUCCACUGAGCCACAACAGGCACUCCACACACCUUCAUUUCAAACAUUUUAGUCUCUGGAAUUCUGGAGUAAUACAUGUCUGUUGUUUUAAGGCACCAAGUGUGUAUUAAUCUGCUAGAGAAGCUCUAGGAAACUCACACACAAGCAGCAAGAGUGGUGGAGAGAAAGACAAGCGUCAAGUUAUGAGCGAUUACAUAAUUCUUGAAAUAAGCUGGGAAGCAACCAAAUAACAAACAAAAAAACAAAUCCUAGCAAAAUUUCACAAGACCUCCGUUAAGAAUGGAGUCCAGGGAACAGGUUUAUAUAAGAAAUUCCAUCUCCCACUAGCCAGGGUGGCUGGAGAGAGGCCCUGGGCCCACAAAAAGGAGUAAGAAAUACCAGUGGGACUGAGAAGGGAGACCAGCUGCUCCAGAGGGAAAGCUUCGUCUAAGGCAUCUGGGGGAUCUGGUUCUGGCCACAGGGGGAAAGCAGAGAAGCCAGAGACUUAACCCGCAGAAGUUUGCAUGAGGCCUCUGGUCACCAGCCUGCAGCAGGUGCCUGCAGGAAGGUUAGUGGGAGUGUCACACGAGGCCUGUCUUUGGGGAAUGCAGGGAUUAAGGGCAGAGUUUACCGGGACUGGUUAGAGGUCAGACCGGAGGGAGGUGACGAGUGCAAGGUCAUUUUUCUGAGCGCACUCCCAAGUAAAGAUGACUAUGACCCAAGGCACUCAAGCUAAGGAGCCGGAGUGAUGGAUGCUCUCCGGCCUCUCUCCUUGGGGUCUAAGAUGACACGGAGGGAGUCACUUUGCUUCCUGCUGGGAACAUCCUUAAGCUGAGACACUUGUUGCAGCUUCAGAGAGAGUGUAUUUCUUUGGGGAGGAGAUUUCAGAGUCAUCACCUGCCUUACCCCAGCCUCUGCCAAACACAUGUGCUUUUUGUCAAUCACCUUCCCCACCACUCAUCGCUGGGUUAACCUGGUUGACUUGCUAGGCCAUAUCCAAGUCCCACGGUCCAGGAGACUUUUGACUGGGGGCAGGGGGCCGUUGGGUGUGGUGGCUUAAGCCUGGGCUUCCCAGUGGGCACUCAAAGUACUGAGAAAUAAGCCACUUGGCACAUUUGCUGGAGGAAGGGUACGUUUUACGAGGUCAGUUUCACCACCAAUAGCCAAAACUGGAGAACUGGGCUGGUUCUUACACCUGGCCAUGCCCCUUCUAGGAAUGAAUCCUUCCAGGCUACUAUCAGAAACAAACAGAGCUUGAUGGAUGCCACAUGGCAGGGGAUGCUGACUUGACCUUCAGCAAGUUUUGCAUUUGCCUCUUUGUUGCAAGUUUUCUGUAUCUGUCUGGAUAACGUAUUCCACCUCUUUAAGCCUCUGCUUUUCCAUCGGUAAAAGAGUUCUAAUAGUAACACCUAUCUCAGGCAGUUAUUAGGAGGAUGAAAUUAAACAAUACAGGUAAUAUGCAGGGAAGACACUCAAUGCAAGGUAGAACCACCUGUUGCUAUUCAUUUUUUCUUAACAGAGAUAUUGAUCUAAGUUCUAUUUAUGAUUGAAAAAAACAGAAGUGAAAUGUCUAAAGAUAGGAGCAAUUAACUAUGAUAUGUGUGUAAACAAAUGUUAUAUAGCUUGAAAGCCAUCCUUUAAAGACUAUUUAAUAGUUAACGAUAUGAGAAAAGUUCAAUAUAAAAUAUUACAUGAAAAAAGCAAAAUAAAAUGUUCUUAUUGCAGGUAAAUUCCUCUGCUCUCAUUACCACACACACCCACACACACACACACACACACACACAGCCUCACAGGAAAAACGAAGAAGGAUUUACAGCAGAAUGAAAACACUGAUUAAGAAUACGAGUCUCGACAGUUUUACUGUCUCCCUUCUAUUUUCACUUGGCUUUCAACAUUUUUUAUGAUGUACAUAUAUUCCUCUGAUAAUGACAAUUAAAAUAUGAAGGAAAACUAACAUGGAUUUUUACUGUCAGAGAGACUCAAUUCCACGUGCUGCAUUUCUGCUUAGGACCUGAGUAACUCUGGGCAAGUUAAAGGAGCCUCGGUUUCCUUACACAGAAAAAGGGGGAAGCAGCAGCAUCAAGGAAUUAAAAGGCAGUACUGACAGUUACAUGUGCUCAUGUGCUCUCUACCCAAGGUCAGAAGUUCUUUGUGCAAAGACUUGGGCCCGUUUGGGAGGCUAUGGGCAUGCUUAGUGGAUCACUGGAAAUUCUGAGAUGGAAGCCCUCGCCCCAGGACACGGAAGCCCCAGCGCAGCGCCUUCGAGUCCGGCUCCGCUGAGCAUGCAUGGCAUGGUGCUUUGAAGGACCUCGGCAGAUGACUGCCCGGCUCAUGCCAUCUUCGCUUAUCAUAGCAACUCAUUUCAGAGUCCAUUGGAAACCCCAGAUUGAUUUCAUCGAUGAAACACCUGCUACUCGCAAGGCCCAGGCCAAGAGGGUGACCCUGGCGGGGAGUCUUUGAAAGGACACCACGAAUAAGAACAGCACAGCUGGUGACCGUAUGGGGAUCUGGCAAAAAUGAAUCGUGAUAAAAACACUAUGCCAAAACUACAUGUGGAUCUGUUUUUUUUUUUUUUUUUAAUCCAUAGUUCCUCUGAGAAGCCCUGUUUGUUUUUCUUUAUUUUUCCCAGCUUUCAUGACCUAUAACCAGCAGAGAACACUGUGGGAGUUCCAGGGCACUAUGUGUUAAUGGGAGACAUGCAUAUACAGCAGGAACUCACACCUCUGUCCCCU
rnacentral:lncRNA from 1 species